rnacentral:lncRNA from 1 species
ACUUCCGGUUCCCGCGCGGCGCUCCAAAGCUCGGGGAGUGGUGGUCUCCCUUUCCUGGAGUCAUUUGUGGGAGUUAGGGUCUUAUCCUGAUCUUUCCUCGUCCCCCGCUCCCCCGUCCUCCGAGGUGGCAGCUGCAUCGGGGGUCAUACUACACAUCGAUCGGGACCUUAGUCAUGUUGUGAUAUGGACAGCUUUCUUACCAGUACUCAUAAGCCUGCUUCAUUUUUUACGUGGCGGCACCACUGAGUGGUUGACGAAGUCUGGAACGUUUUUUCUUAGAGUUCCAGAAUUGAGACUGAAGUGUACCCAGAGACACAAAGAAAUACAGAAGUCCAGAAUGAUCAAAUGAGAUCACUACCCAAUGAAAUGAUGGGCCGAGGAGCCAGAAGUUGUCCUACUACCUGCUUUCCAGGUCCAGAUUCCACGAGAGCCUUCUGGGCUCCCACCAGAGACCCUCAGUGAAGACUCUGUUGAAGACUUUAAGACCAUGCUAGAAAGCCUCCCGGCAGAGGUUCAGGAAGUUCUGCUAUGAGGAUGCAGCUGGCCCCAGGGAUGUCCUCAGGCAUCUCUAGGACCUUGCUGGACGGUGGUGGCUGAGACCUGAUAUCCACACAAAGGAGCAGACUGUGGAAAUGCUGGUGCAGGAGCAAUUCCAGGCUGUCCUGCCCGAGGAGCUCAGAGCUCAAGCACAGAGAUGUCAGCCUGGAAUCAGAAUCACUGGCUAAGUCUUGCUGCUUGCUUCUUGCUCAGCCUGCAUAUGAGAAGUCAACCAAGCAUUCUCUUGGAUGCAAGAUCCAACUGCACCCAUGGGAAAUCUGAACUUCCACUUUCUUUGAGCUUGUCUUUGGUUGUAAUAAGAAUCCAUCAAAACCCAUGUCUGGAUCUCUCUUUGGCUGAGGCAGCUUUAUUUCCUACAGAAAGAGUUUCUCUGUCCUCUUGUUAGGACAAUCAGCCUGCUGCUUUGGGCUUUUCCAAGAGCCUAUUUUUCAUCUGCUGGAUGCCUCUUUUUUUUUUUUUUUUUUUUUUUGCACUGUGUGACAUGCUUUAAUAUAUAUAUUUUUUAUGUAUCCAAAGAGGUAAUCAACUUUAACUUUCAGAAUUCAUGAAUCUUGGUUUGGUGGCAUGAAUGAAAGGUUAUGUAACCCCACCAGUAACUCAUUUGGGGUGCCCUUGAAAUAUUAAAGUUUGGUCCUCAA